rnacentral:rRNA from 1 species
AUACGGAGGGUCCGAGCGUUAAUCGGAAUUACUGGGCGUAAAGCGCGCGUAGGCGGAUAUUUAAGUCAGAUGUGAAAUCCCUGGGCUCAACCUAGGAACUGCAUUUGAAACUGGAUAUCUAGAGUAUGGUAGAGGUGAGUGGAAUUUCAGGUGUAGCGGUGAAAUGCGUAGAGAUCUGAAGGAACAUCAGUGGCGAAGGCGACUCACUGGGCCAUUACUGACGCUGAGGUGCGAAAGCGUGGGUAGCAAACAGGAUUAGAAACCCUUGUAGUCC